ACUGCAGCAUCUAGGAGAAAGGGUAGGACUGACUUCCCCGGGUGGAUUAGGACAAGGGCCGUGGGGGUGGAGAGCCUCUAGCUCUCCCGAGGAAAGAUGUUUCAAAGCUAGUAUGUGGGCCACAGAGAGCUUCCAGCCCACCACUCUCUGCUUCAGCUCAGCAAGGGAAAGAAGGAAAGCUGCAAGAUAAUUGUCCAGGUUGUUUCCAGCUCAAAGAAAUUUCAGAGUCCACGGGCAAGCAGCUGCUGGCGUCCUGCAUUCAUCCAGUAAACAAACGUCGGAUCUACCACUUACAAAGCGGGGUGAUCUCAGGCCCCCCCGCCCCGCCCCGCUUCUUCGUCUUUUCCCUCACAGGAUUUAUGCUCCGUACAGCUGUGCAGCAAGUGAGGAGUGAGUCUCUACAGCCGGGGAAAAAACAGAAGCCUGUGGAUGCCAACCUCCUAGCAGCCUACAGGAGCCGCACAUACGUUUAAGUUUCACAGCUCCUGAGGAAUUACAGAAACCAAAAUAGAGAGAAAGAGAGCACAGCAGGGGGAGCAGCAGGCAGAGGGAGGGCAGAAGCAUGCUCCCC